rnacentral:rRNA from 1 species
AGAGUUUGAUCCUGGCUCAGGACGAACGCUGGCGGCGUGCUUAACACAUGCAAGUCGAACGGGCUUCUGGGGUUCUGGCUUUUGGUUGGGGUUCUGGGGGUUAGUGGCGAACGGGUGAGUAACACGUGAGUAACCUGCCCUUCACUUCUGGAUAACCGCUUGAAAGGGUGGCUAAUACGGGAUGUUUCUGGGUCUGUCGCAUGGCGGGUUCGGGAAAGAUGGCACUGUUUGGUGUUUUUGGUGGGGGAUGGGCUCGCGGCCUAUCAGCUUGUUGGUGGGGUGAUGGCCUGCCAAGGCUUUGACGGGUAGCCGGCCUGAGAGGGUGGGCGGUCACACUGGGACUGAGAUACGGCCCAGACUCCUACGGGAGGCAGCAGUGGGGAAUAUUGCACAAUGGGCGGAAGCCUGAUGCAGCGACGUCGCGUGAGGGAUGGAGGCCUUCGGGUUGUGAACCUCUUUCGCCGGUGAAGAAGGUCCUGCCUUGUGUGGUGGGGUUGACGGUAGCCGGGUAUGAAGCGCCGGCUAACUACGUGCCAGCAGCCGCGGUAAUACGUAGGGCGCGAGCGUUGUCCGGAAUUAUUGGGCGUAAAGGGCUUGUAGGCGGUUGGUCGCGUCUGCCGUGAAAUCCUCUGGCUCAGCUGGGGGCGUGCGGUGGGUACGGGCUGGCUUGAGUGCGGUAGGGGAGACUGGAACUCCUGGUGUAGCGGUGGAAUGCGCAGAUAUCAGGAAGAACACCGGUGGCGAAGGCGGGUCUCUGGGCCGUUACUGACGCUGAGGAGCGAAAGCGUGGGGAGCGAACAGGAUUAGAUACCCUGGUAGUCCACGCUGUAAACGUUGGGCACUAGGUGUGGGGGGUCUUUCCGGGUCUUCCGCGCCGUAGCUAACGCAUUAAGUGCCCCGCCUGGGGAGUACGGCCGCAAGGCUAAAACUCAAAGGAAUUGACGGGGGCCCGCACAAGCGGCGGAGCA